rnacentral:rRNA from 1 species
AUUGAACGCUGGCGGCAGGCCUAACACAUGCAAGUCGAACGAGCGGCGGACGGGUGAGUAAUGUCUGGGAAUCUGCCUGAUGGAGGGGGAUAACUACUGGAAACGGUAGCUAAUACCGCAUACCAUCGGAUGUGCCCAGAUGGGAUUAGCUAGUUGGUGGGGUAACGGCUCACCAAGGCGACGAUCCCUAGCUGGUCUGAGAGGAUGACCAGCCACACUGGGACUGAGACACGGUCCAGACUCCUACGGGAGGCAGCAGUGGGGAAUAUUGCACAAGGGGCGCAAGCCUGAUGCAGCCAUGCCGCGUGUAUGAAGAAGGCCUUAGGGUUGUAAAGUACUUUCAGCGGGGAGGCGUUACCCGCAGAAGAAGCACCGGCUAACUCCGUGCCAGCAGCCGCGGUAAUAC